AAACUUCUUUCACAUAUUCUGUGGAAAAAGAAAGGAAAAUAAAAUUGAUUCCACGGGAAAAAAACUUAGCCGCAGUUUUUUUUUCUUCUUUACGUUCGUCUGUUUUCUCAUUCUUCUCUCUGUUCUCCUUCUCCAUCUCUUUGUUCAUCACAAAAGAUUUGGUAAUUAUUUUUGUUUGGUUUGGUUUUAUUUUGCAGGAACGGUUUUUGCUAAUGAGAUUAGAUUUGAUUCAUGGUUGGGUUUAUCUGGAACGAACGACUCUAAUCUGACAAAGGUCGAUAUAUGUGGAUUAAUGCAGUGCACACUUGCAGUAUGAUGGCAUGGUUGGAUGACGUUACAUCUAUGAGCGAGAGGGUAUUAGUAUGGACCUGAACAAAUCGAAGCGGGGAGGAGAGGUGAAGUCGAAGCUUGAAGGAAAGGAGGGAAAUGAUAGCAUCUGAAUCAGUGCUUUAUGGCUUGGCUCUGCCAUAAUUGUGCGAUUGAAAUACAGCUGCAUUACCACUGUUACUUUUCUAUUUUAAAGACUAGCACUGGAUUCUUCUGUCUUAUUAUUUGCAAAUGAUCUGUGGAGCGUGUCUGACCCCGCGUCAGAAGGAUACCUAUUGCAAAGACGAAGGGCGUCCAUAUAUAUGGGAAAAGAAGUAACAAAUUUCCAAAAUGCAGGAACAUAAGGGCGUGCUGCUGGUUAAAGAGUAGCUCUCCACUCACUUUGAGAAAGAAGCUGAUGGUGUCUUGGUUGACAUUGUUGAAUUUGAGAAUGAAGCUGCAAAUAUAUGUGUUGGUGAAUAUAAAGAAGAAGCCAUGGUUGGUUGAUUAAAAAUCAGCGUGUCAAGCUAUUUUUCAGUUACAACAGUUGGUGAAUGAGAUGUUAAUAAAAUUAGAGGAUAGUCGGAUUCUUUCUCGGUUUAACGGGUCAUAAUUUCGUAUGGGCUUGGACUGGACUGGAUAGUUAGGCCCUCAGGACCAUUUUGGGGCUAACUUAGGGUUCAGUUGCUCACUCACUAUCUGCACUAUCUAUAGAUGAUCUUUCUUUCAUUUAGGGUUCACUACUAGAUCAAUCCCGCCGCUUUCAUUUCUGGUUCUCUCUGAUCUCCAUUAUAUAUUCUUUCUCGAUAUCUCUGAUCUCCAUCAUUUAAUCUCUUGGUUGAAGCAAAAAGGAAGAAUGAGUUAUGAGUUGAGAUUUGAAGGUUUACAUAUAGCCUGGUGUCCUAUCAAUCUUCUCCUUUCUUUGUACGUUUGCUGUUUUUGUAUCCAACCAAACAGCGAACAUAUAAUUUAGAUUUCAUAUAAUUGAGAUGCUUGGUUGUCAAUUAUAUGUAAAGGUUUUAUAUUCAAAUGGCUUCUUAGAAAUUAAUAAGGGAUGAUAGAAAGUAUUAGGAAAGAUUAUGUUGCUGUAGGGAAUAAGGUUAAAUAAACUAAUUAUUUAUCAAAUGUGUUAAUUGUUCUUUCCUUUUGUUAAUUCAAAUUUAGAUAUACAAGUAGUUUGAACAUGUAAUUCUAACUUCUAAGUUUGUAUCUCCUAAUCAGCUGUUGUAAUUAGUGUGUCUGAAUAUUAAUGGCUAAUUUCCUUGGAAAAGGGAAUGACUGAUUAUCAGUA